AGUGAACGUUGGCGGCGUGCCUAACACAUGCAAGUCGUACGAAACCCAAGGAGCUUGCUUUUUGGGAAAAGUGGCGAACGGGUGAGUAACACGUGAGUAACCUGCCCUCGAGCGGGGAACAACUUCGCGAAAGCGAAGCUAAUACCGCAUAAUACUCCGGAGCAUAAGCUUUCGGAGUCAAAGCUUUCGAGCGCUUGAGGAUGGGCUCGCGGCCUAUUAGCUAGUUGGUAGGGUAACGGCCUACCAAGGUGACGAUGGGUAGCCGGCCUGAGAGGGUGAUCGGCCACACUGGAACUGCGACACGGUCCAGACUCCUACGGGAGGCAGCAGUGGGGAAUUUUGCGCAAUGGGCGAAAGCCUGACGCAGCGACGCCGCGUGGAGGAUGACGGCCUUCGGGUUGUAAACUCCUGUCAGAGGUGAAGAAAUCUUCGGAUGACGGUAACU
rnacentral:rRNA from 1 species